AUUGAACGCUGGCGGCAUGCCUUACACAUGCAAGUCGAGCGGCAGCACGGAGCUUGCUCUGGUGGCGAGUGGCGAACGGGUGAGUAAUAUAUCGGAACGUACCCUAGAGUGGGGGAUAACGUAGCGAAAGUUACGCUAAUACCGCAUACGAUCUAAGGAUGAAAGUGGGGGAUCGCAAGACCUCAUGCUCGUGGAGCGGCCGAUAUCUGAUUAGCUAGUUGGUAGGGUAAAAGCCUACCAAGGCAUCGAUCAGUAGCUGGUCUGAGAGGACGACCAGCCACACUGGAACUGAGACACGGUCCAGACUCCUACGGGAGGCAGCAGUGGGGAAUUUUGGACAAUGGGCGAAAGCCUGAUCCAGCAAUGCCGCGUGAGUGAAGAAGGCCUUCGGGUUGUAAAGCUCUUUUGUCAGGGAAGAAACGGUGAAAGCUAAUAUCUUAUGCUAAUGACGGUACCUGAAGAAUAAGCACCGGCUAACUACGUGCCAGCAGCCGCGGUAAUACGUAGGGUGCAAGCGUUAAUCGGAAUUACUGGGCGUAAAGCGUGCGCAGGCGGUUUUGUAAGUCUGAUGUGAAAUCCCCGGGCUCAACCUGGGAAUUGCAUUGGAGACUGCAAGGCUAGAAUCUGGCAGAGGGGGGUAGAAUUCCACGUGUAGCAGUGAAAUGCGUAGAUAUGUGGAGGAACACCGAUGGCGAAGGCAGCCCCCUGAGUCAAGAUUGACGCUCAUGCACGAAAGCGUGGGGAGCAAACAGGAUUAGAUACCCUGGUAGUCCACGCCCUAAACGAUGUCUACUAGUUGUCGGGUCUUAAUUGACUUGGUAACGCAGCUAACGCGUGAAGUAGACCGCCUGGGGAGUACGGUCGCAAGAUUAAAACUCAAGGGAAUUGACGGGGACCCGCACAAGCGGUGGAUGAUGUGGAUUAAUUCGAUGCAACGCGAAAAACCUUACCUACCCUUGACAUGGCUGGAAUCCUUGAGAGAUCAGGGAGUGCUCGAAAGAGAACCAGUACACAGGUGCUGCAUGGCUGUCGUCAGCUCGUGUCGUGAGAUGUUGGGUUAAGUCCCGCAACGAGCGCAACCCUUGUCAUUAGUUGCUACGAAAGGGCACUCUAAUGAGACUGCCGGUGACAAACCGGAGGAAGGUGGGGAUGACGUCAAGUCCUCAUGGCCCUUAUGGGUAGGGCUUCACACGUCAUACAAUGGUACAUACAGAGCGCCGCCAACCCGCGAGGGGGGGCUAAUCGCAGAAAGUGUAUCGUAGUCCGGAUUGUAGUCUGCAACUCGACUGCAUGAAGUUGGAAUCGCUAGUAAUCGCGGAUCAGCAUGUCGCGGUGAAUACGUUCCCGGGUCU
rnacentral:rRNA from 1 species